AAAAAAAAAUAUAUUUCACCUUUCUAACAAUAUGUUUGGUAUGCCAUUUUGUAAUAAUUUCUUAAAUUUUGGUUCGAUGAAAUAUUAUUGCUCAGCUGUCAUAAACAUUGCAUGACAUAGUUACCAAAAAGGGAGGUUGUGUCCACGGACAAAGACAAAAUUUAAAUGUCAUUUCACAAAAAAGAAAAAAACAGAUCCGAGUGGCUCUUUAUAAAAUUUAGGAAACUUGGUGAAUAAUAAUCUUUAAGCAUGAAAACUGAUAAACAAAAAAGGCAAACUUGCA
rnacentral:lncRNA from 1 species